rnacentral:rRNA from 1 species
AACGCGAAGAACCUUACCUACCCUUGACAUGUACGGAAGCCCCGAGAGAUCGGGGCGUGCUCGAAAGAGAGCCGUAACACAGGUGCUGCAUGGCUGUCGUCAGCUCGUGUCGUGAGAUGUUGGGUUAAGUCCCGCAACGAGCGCAACCCUUGUCAUUAGUUGCUACGAAAGGGCACUCUAAUGAGACUGCCGGUGACAAACCGGAGGAAGGUGGGGAUGACGUCAAGUCCUCAUGGCCCUUAUGGGUAGGGCUUCACACGUCAUACAAUGGCACAUACAGAGGGCCGCCAACCCGCGAGGGGGAGCUAAUCCCAGAAAGUGUAUCGUAGUCCGGAUUGCAGUCUGCAACUCGACUGCAUGAAGUUGGAAUCGCUAGUAAUCGCGGAUCAGCAUGUCGCGGUGAAUACGUUCCCGGGCCUUGUACACACCG